rnacentral:lncRNA from 1 species
AUGGCAGGGGUAGGGCUCUUUAUUCUUCUCCCCCACCCCCAGGAAUCCUUUGUGACUGCUUCACUGCUCUAUGAUGCAGGCUCAGAAUUCUCUGGAACACAGCACACACCUCAAGGCCCAUUGGCUGAGGUAGCAGGGAGCUUCAGACCUCAGAUGUUGGAGGCACAUCUCCUUUCUGAGGAGACUGAGGGAGACAUGAGUGUUGUUGGGCUCCUUCCUCUUCAUCCUUCCUCCUACAGGGAAAGAUUGCUACCUGCCUUCAGAAUAAAGAAAACAUCAGCCAGAGAAUAUGAUAUAGGUAAUUGGGUAAACCUGUCGGAAGCCUGGAAAAGUCAGAGGUGGCUGGAUUGAAUGAACCUGAUGCCUGCAACCCAGAGGAGUCCUGUUAUAUCAAGGGACAGACAAUGGUCACCACAAAAGGCAGUGCUAGGACUCCCCCCAGGGGGUUGGAUGGCAGAGCAGGUCUCAGGAAUAACUUGGUACCCUGCUUGGCACCACUACAGAUAUUUAUUUGCCUGCAUUUCUGAUUCAGCUCAUUGCCCAAAGACCAUGCAGGGGCUGAGGGGACAAGCAGAAGGCUCAUCUUUCAAAUCUCCACAGCAACCAUACACUGAGGAAGAACCAAGGGGUCAAAAUUCAUGGUCAUCCUCAUAGAAUUGAAAUUCUGCAUUCUGCCUUAGUGUUUCAUUCAUUGUGUUUUGUUUUCUAACAAAUCAAAAGCCAUCUGUCUACCUAUAAAAAUCAUGUUUGAUUCCCGCUUCUAGGAAUCUAUCCCAAAGAUACACUGGUAAAAAUAAGAAGAGAUAUGUACAUAUGGCAUUUUACUGCUGUGUUAUUAUAUAUUAAUAGAACCCUGGAAAAAUGUAAAUGCCGAUCAAUAGAAAAGUGAGUAAAUAAAAUAUAAUAUAUAAUAAGUGUAUAUAUAAAA